rnacentral:lncRNA from 1 species
CUUGAUCCCUCUACAAUUUCCACUUCGGCUUAUGAAUGUGUAUAUUAUUUGGACUAAAAAAUAUAAUAGAGAGUGGUAGCAUGUAAAUGUGAACGAGGGGUUUAAAUAGGAAAAGAUUGGACAUUCAUCUUUAAGGAAAAAUUCAUGUUAGUGGAAAUUGUUCAUUGAAAUUUGUGAAAUGAGCAAGAAUCUCUCCAUCAUUCCUACAUUUAUGCAUUCAUACUAACAUUACCUUAUGUUUGGUCAAUCAAGCAUAGAUCAAGAAUUUUCUCUAUAAGUGUUUGACCAAAAAUUUAAUAAAAAACAUAUAGGAAUUAGCAUUUAAGGUAAGUUUGCAACAAAGUUCUAGAAGGUGGAUUAACCUUCAAAUGAGCCCCCUAAAUUUUCGAUUUUGAUAAUUAGACCUAGAAUUUCGGGUGUGGGUAUUAUAGUAAAUCCGGUCGAAGAUGCUUCUUCUAUCCUUCUCCCUUUCCGUUAUUUCUCACGAUCCUCCCAAUGGCCCAUGAUAAAUUUAAAUUGUUCUAUCAACAAGUUCAUGUUAUUUUCUAUGUUCUGUACCCUAUGCAACCCAGCCUUCAUGGAAUCCAUGCCCGCCUGAAAUGCAUCCAUUCUCCUCUCCAGGCUGCGGUGAUAACCUUCCAAUUCCCCUACGCGAUCGGUCAACAUCAUCCCGAGGUGAAUGCUAUGAUACCAAAAUGAUAAACUCCCGGCUAAUUGAACUCCAGAAUCACAACACAAAGGAGCUCAAAUUGAUAAUAACAAAGAAGAACGUUUCAUUAAUGAUAAAUUGGAUGAAUAGAACCUAAAUGAACGUAGAAUAGUAAAAGGAAAUGAAAGAGAAAACAACUCAUAAUUGGACUUUCGAGAGGUCCAAACUCUUCUGCCAAAAAAAUUCCAC